UGUGUGUCUAUUCACUGGUAUUGGGGA
rnacentral:piRNA from 1 species